rnacentral:rRNA from 1 species
UACGGAGGGUGCAAGCGUUGCUCGGAAUUAUUGGGCGUAAAGGGUAGGUAGGUGGUCUUAUUUGUCUGGGGUGAAAGCCUUGGGCUUAACCCAAGAAGUGCCCCAGAAACGGUAAGACUAGAGUCCUGGAGAGGGUCGUGGAAUUCCCGGUGUAGCGGUGAAAUGCGUAGAGAUCGGGAGGAACACCAGAGGCGAAGGCGGCGACCUGGACAGGCACUGACACUCAACUACGAAAGCGUGGGGAGCAAACAGG